CAAACUAAAACUGAGGGAAACGUAUUAGAUAUCAGAGGAGAACAACGACACAACACUACAAUGUAACACACACAGAAACGGACCAAGCAUCAGACAAAAACCCACGAGAAUAACAAAUAUAACAUCAAAACCAAAUACAUGAAUUUGGGAUAGACAAGUACCGUGACACGUCUUAUCGCAAUGUGAAUUUACACUAAAAAAUAAGAGAAAACAAACGACGCAACGUUAAAAUGUAACACACACAGAAACG
rnacentral:lncRNA from 1 species